AUUGAACGCUGGCGGCAGGCCUAACACAUGCAAGUCGAACGAGUGGCGGACGGGUGAGUAAUGUCUGGGAACCUGCCCGAUGGAGGGGGAUAACUACUGGAAACGGUAGCUAAUACCGCAUACCAUCGGAUGUGCCCAGAUGGGAUUAGGUAGUAGGUGGGGUAAAGGCUCACCUAGGCGACGAUCCCUAGCUGGGCGGAGAGGAUGACCAGCCACACUGGAACUGAGACACGGUCCGGAUUCCUACGGGAGGCAGCAGUGGGGAAUAUUGCACAAUGGGCGCAAGCCGGAUGCAGCCAGGCGGCGUGUAUGAAGAAGGCCUUCGGGUUGUAAAGUACUUUCAGCGGGAAGGCGGUACCCGCAGAAGAAGCACCGGCUAACUCCGUGCCAGCAGCCGCGGUAAUUC
rnacentral:rRNA from 1 species